AUUGAACGCUGGCGGCAGGCCUAACACAUGCAAGUCGAACGAUUGGCGGACGGGUGAGUAAUGUCUGGGAAACUGCCCGAUGGAGGGGGAUAACUCCUGGAAACGGUAGCUAAUACCGCAUACCCUACGAUCUGCCCCGAUGGGAUUAGCUAGUCGGUGGGGUAACGGCUCACCUAGGCGACGCUCCCUAGCUGGUCUGAGAGGCUGACCAGCCACAAUGGAACUGAGACACGGUCCAGACGCCUACGGGAGGCAGCAGUGGGGAAUAGUGCACAAUGGGCGCAAGCGUGAUGCAGCCAUGCCGCGUGUAUGAAGAAGGCCUUCGGGUGGUAAAGUACUGUCAGCGAGGAGGCGUUACUCGCAGAAGAAGCACCGGCUAACUCCGUGCCAGCAGCCGCGGUAAUUC
rnacentral:rRNA from 1 species